UACGUAGGGUGCGAGCGUUGUCCGGAAUUAUUGGGCGUAAAGAGCUUGUAGGCGGUUUGUCGCGUCUGCCGUGAAAGCCCAGGGCUUAACCCUGGGUCUGCGGUGGGUACGGGCAGACUAGAGUGUGGUAGGGGAGACUGGAAUUCCUGGUGUAGCGGUGAAAUGCGCAGAUAUCAGGAGGAACACCGAUGGCGAAGGCAGGUCUCUGGGCCAAUACUGACGCUGAGGAGCGAAAGCCAGGGGAGCAAACGGG
rnacentral:rRNA from 1 species